rnacentral:misc_RNA from 1 species
UUUCCGUAGGUGAACCUGCGGAAGGAUCAUUAUCGAAAUACUUAUUUAGCGUUCCGUGCUAUCCCAUUGUUUUAUUUUCCCUGUUGCUUCCACUGGAUGAGUUUCCAUACCUUGUGUUUGAGAAACUUUGGCUUGUGUAAGAUUCAUUCACGGCCAGCCAGUGAGAAGACCAUUUACAAAACCCUGUUAAGAACCAAUUGUCUGAAUAUUUUACUCCAAUGAAAUAAAACUUUCAACAACGGAUCUCUAGGCUCUUGCAUAGAUGAAGAACGCAGC